rnacentral:rRNA from 1 species
CCUACGGGCGGCAGCAGUGGGGAAUAUUGGACAAUGGGCGAAAGCCUGAUCCAGCCAUGCCGCGUGUGUGAAGAAGGCCUUCGGGUUGUAAAGCACUUUCAGUGGGGAAGAAAGCCUUGGGGCUAAUACCCUCGAGGAAGGACAUCACCCACAGAAGAAGCACCGGCUAACUCCGUGCCAGCAGCCGCGGUAAUACGGAGGGUGCGAGCGUUAAUCGGAAUUACUGGGCGUAAAGCGCGCGUAGGCGGUCUGAUAAGCCGGUUGUGAAAGCCCCGGGCUCAACCUGGGAACGGCAUCUGGAACUGUCAGGCUAGAGUGCAGGAGAGGAAGGUAGAAUUCCCGGUGUAGCGGUGAAAUGCGUAGAGAUCGGGAGGAAUACCAGUGGCGAAGGCGGCCUUCUGGACUGACACUGACGCUGAGGUGCGAAAGCGUGGGUAGCAAACAGGAUUAGAUACCCGGGUAGUC